rnacentral:lncRNA from 1 species
GUCCUACUUCGGUUAAUUACGGAUGGUCCUACUUCGGUUAAUUACGGAUGGUCCUACGGAUAAAUCCUCCGGACUACUUCCCUCCAUAUGGAUGGUCCUACUUCUAAUGGAUAGUCCUACGGAUAAGAAUCCUCCGGACUCCGGACGUAGGAUAAAUCCUGCGGACUGCGGACUCCGGACUACGGAUAAAUCCUCCGGACCUGUCUUAUGGAACCUUCGGUCUUAAUACUCCUAACUACGGGGUGAGGUGCAAAGAAUAUUGACAGUCUUUCUCUCUCGCAGCUGAGACUCGGCCCUUGCUUCCUGCCAAUGCAUUCUCAUACCAACUCCUAGAAGAUAUAGCAUAUUCUCUACCCACUACGCGGUAUUCUACCUGCGGAUAGCUGAUCUUCCCGCUCCGUGGGCUAAGUAGAAGAGGAAGAAGAGAAGACCAGAGACUUGGCCGCCGACAGAAAAGGGGUCCUUUCCUUCCGAUCCUGGGCCUGGUCCCUUUCGUCGAAAGUAAUAAGUCGAUAACCCUGAAAUGAAACUGAAACCUACACAGCAAGAACGACCUCAAUGAACAAGGGGCCCCAAGAGGACGUUGAAAGAAUGAAUCGCCGAAAUGAAAUAAUGCAUUAAUCUCCUCGCGAAUUAGACGCCCGACCAAAGGUUCUUUCAUCAUCAGCAUAUGUGGAUUCAGUCGGGACGUUUUUGAGGUUCUUUUGCACGAUCUCAAAACCCACUACGCGGCGCUUUCUUUACAUCUUUCGACCUUAAAGCCACUUAUCUCAUAACCUCACGAAUGAAAGAGCAUGCAGACUGGUUAGCAGCUUCAUACCGCCCCCUGGGAUGGGAAUACGAGACAGCGGACCACUCUCCUACUCUUUCUAUUCGCAUAACCGAUCUCCUUUCCAGUCGUAUUCAAACCUCUGCCUAUAUUGGGGAGGAUUCUAGACGCGGGAAGAAACCUAUCCAAAGCCUGAGAAUCUCGCAAUAUCAAUAUUCUGCUUUCGAGCAAUAUUCUUUGCGCCUUCUACGCGGUCGUCCUAAUCCCUUGUUCAUUGAGGUGAGGACCUUUGUUUUUGGAGGAGUUAUCUACCCUUUCUUUGCUUUGUUUAUGGAUCAAAAUCAGUCCUUAAAAUGAACCAAAAUCUUCUUCUCAACAAUAUCCCUGUCUUAUGGUAUGGAGCCUUCAAAAAAGUGGAAUAAGACUCCUAACGUCAGAAACAUUUACCUAUUUAUCUUUAUCAUGACUUUUUCUCAAUAUUCUUUUCUUUCUAUUAGCUCCAUUAAUCAGUCGCAAUAUUCUUUGCACCUUUCUUUCUCAGGAGCGGAAGCGUAGCGUAGCGGACAGCCUUAAAGCACUUGCUUUCAGCGUAGCAGAGCGGUGGGUUCGCUGGCUUCUCCCUUUCUUUUCCAGCGGAGCGGACAGGACACCUACCUUUCUUUUCUCUUUUCCAGAAAAUCGCUGCCUGAGCCCUUAAGAUUUUCAGCUACGCGUAGCGGUGCCUUCGCCCCUCUCCUUUCAGUCGAGCUUCUUCGCCCUGAUGUGAUGACUCUUUCCGUUGGUUCUUGCUGUUGGGCUCCGCCCCGUACACUGACUUCGUGUACUUACUCUGUACUUCUUAUACUUGACUUCUUGUACUUCUUGUUGUCGGGCUCCGCCCCUUAUACACUGACUUACCUCUUGUACUUACCUCUGAUUGUACUUCUUGUUUUGGGCUCCGCCCCGUAUACUUACCUCUUCUUGUUGUUGUUGGGCUCCGCCCCUCACACUUGUUCUUUCUUUCCUGCCUCUUCCACGCAAUAUUCUUUGCACCUCACACGCAACUCAUAUUGCAUUGAGCCUCUUGUUGCUGUUCUCAAAUUCUUUGCCCCUUAUACUUGCUCUUCUUCAACUUCUUGUUGUCGGGCUCCGCCCUCGCAAUAUUCUUUGCGCCUAGCCGUCACGGAUUGGUUUACGCCUAGACGGGAUAGAACGAAGAACGGAUCCGCUUUAGCCUAGAGGGAUAUUCGGAUAAGCGGAUCAGCCGAUCUUGCUGUUUUGACCUUCUUUGUUGCCUAGAAGGAAGAGACAAUUACAGAGGUGCAAAGAAUAUUGCGGUAAGAUAAGAAAGAGGGAGAUUAUGAAGAAAAGAAGCGGAUAAGCGGAUCAGCCGAUCUUGCUGUUUUGACCGCGUAGUGGGUUACGGAGAAGAAGGAAGGGUGAAGGGUGAAAGAGAGAGAAGAACUUCCGAAAGAGGUCUCGCAACCGCGUAGUGGGCAUUGACUGCAUAGCUGCUGAAUACCUAUCAUACUUGUCCGGCUUUUCAUUGUCGGCCAUAUCGAUCUGGCUGCCUUCUUGGGGCUUCGCCCUUCAAUAUUUUCAGCGGAGCGGAGUAGCAGAGCGGUGGGUUCGGGGGGCUUCGCCCGCGGAGGGGGUUUGAUCCAGGAGCGUAGCGUAGCCUUUAAAGAAGCACUUGAUCCCUUAUCAAAAAAUAGGAAGGAUCCAUAAGACAGGGAUAUUGUAAGAGAAAGGGAUAUUGUAAGAGAAAGGGAUAUUGUAAGAGAAAGGGAUAUUGUAAGAAUUUGUGGAUUCUUCUUAAUCAGUUCAUUAACGAGAAUGAAAGAAUAAUUCGGAUUGAAUAACCUGGAGGGAAAUCCAGAAUAGACCCGUAUUUCUCCGGACCAGAAACCAUAAGAAAACUCUGUUCAUUGAUUUUACCUGUCCUAGGAGUUCUUCUUUCAUUGCGUUUUCCCGGCUUUUUUGCUUCUAAAUAGGACUAAAUCAAAGAUUUCUAUUUAACGAAAAUAGAUCAAAAAUGACAGAUUUUUCAUGAUUUCUUGCUACUAUUUCUUUUCAGCUCUCCUUAUCAGUCGAGCCCAAAACCUAGCAUUUCCCUCCGCGGAUUCAUCUGAAAUCUAGCUCUGAAAUCUAGCAGAUUCAUAAUUCUUCUUUCAUUCUAGUUAUGAAAUCAUAAUGAUUCUUUCAUUCUCGUUAAUGAGCUUCUUUCUUUGCGCCUUUCUUUCUCCGUCCGAAGGACUAUCCAUAUUAAUCGCGGAAGCGGAGCGUAGCGGAAAGAGCCGCAAUAUUCUUUGCACCUUUGUUUGAUGUUUGAGAAAAGAAAAAUCGCAAGUCAAAUUCUCUAAUGGAUAGGCCUCUAAUUUAUCAUAGCGAAUAGUCCAAAAACAAAGGUCCAGAUGAAAAAUAGCAUUUUACCGACUCCUCCUACGCUAUAUACUCCUUCGGACGUCCUCUGGACUAUUCAUCCUAUUACUUCUUUGAUUUCAAGCUUCCGUCGGACUGAUUAAUGGAACUAAUAUUUACGGGAGGCUCAAAGAAUUUGAGAUCAUUCUUUCUCCCCUCCAAAAUAAUUGAGCCUCAGGCGCAAAGAAUAUUGCUCGAAGGAUCAAUGAAAUUUGAUGAUAAAGAUUAGACUGAACUUUGAACCUUGUUCAUUGUCAAUAUUCUUUGAACCUUACUAAGGAAAGAAUGAAAUAAUUACUCAAAUUGUAUCUUAGCUUUAGGCUAGUCCUAGCUUACUCAACGACGAAUACGACUCUUUCAGUGGAUAGCAGCAAGGGCCCGAUCCAACUCGCUUGUACCAGUCUGCCUCUACUUUCUUUUUCCGACACUGAAUUCUUCCUCUUAGCCUGAACCUAGGCUUUCCUUCCUCUCAUGAUAUAUUCCUGAGCAAUAUUCUUUGCGCCUCUCCCGCCUUCUAAUUGGAUCUGGACCUUUCUUUUUGGACUGAUUUUGAUCCAUAUGACUCCGGACUGAUUAAUGGAACUGAGUAUAUUCACCUUUUAUUUGCCGCCUUGAUUUUCUUCAUGGAUUCUUCAAAGAGUGGAAUCAUUGAUUUGUUAUUAGAUAUCUCUCUCUCCUAAUCCUCUCGAAACUGCACUCAUUCUGAUUCAACUUCGGUCGUUCUAAUGGAUUUCUCAAUCUGAAGCCUUUCUUCUUUUCUUAGAUAAAUGCGCUUCGCUUCGCGCAUCUGGACCCCUCCGGAGGAGCAAGGAAUAGUGCAGCGCAAAGUGCGGAUAACUUCAAAAAUCUUUGAGCCUUUAUUUAGGCCUUCGAAUAAGGAGGAGCUUACCUCUCAACGGAUGAGGUGCAGCCAACUACUUAUGAAAGAAAAGGACUGAUUUUCACAUACUUAUGUAUGAAAGGAGAACCGCUACGUUUUCCUUUUCAGGCGACUGCAACUGCCAAAACGGACCUCUUCGCGGCUUCCCUUGACGGAACGAAGAGCGGCCUUAUCCCCUGCCCUGAUCGCGAGACGUGUAUCCUGCACCGCGGAGUGGGAUGCCUAACCCAUUUAUGUCUUCGACCCGAAGCUUCUUUGUUUUGAAGCCAUGAUGGAAAAGAAAAACCUUUGAAUGUGGGUAGAAGGGAACCUCAAAUCCCUUGUUUCCCACUUUCAGUUACUUACUCAACUAACUCUUAAGGAAGAAAGGUCAGACGAUAAAGCAGACCCUAACAAGACUAUUAUUUAAGACUAUUGAGCCCACGGAGCGGGAAGAACUGAUGAACAUAAGGCCUAAUUUUGGGGGCGUCCUUAGUGGUCUAAGCCCACGUAGGGGGAAGAAAGAAAAGAGCUCCUAAUCUCUGGGUCCUCCGUUUUAGAGUCCUUCGGUUAAUUACGGAUGGUCCUACGGAUAAAUCCUCCGGACUACUUCCUUCCAUAUGGAUGGUCCUACGGAUAAAUCACCUGGACCUUUCUUUGGCCCUGCGGACGUAGGACGUAGGAUAAGAAUCCUGCGGACUCCGGACCACUAUUUAAUAUUGAAAGUAAUAGCUAUCGAUCAUUCUUUGAGCUAUAAAGCCAUUAAUCAGUCCUUCGCUCAAUGAAGAAGGUGAAAAGAAUAUUUCAUGAAGCUUACCUUCCCUUCUUCCUUUUGCAGUAAGCGCCUCAAUGAAGAAGGGCUAUUUCAUCCGGUGCUAUGGCCCUUCCCGCCCUUGAUGCUUUAUUCUCUUCAGCAAGUUAGGAUGCAAGAAAGAAGGAUGUGACUGAGAUUCUGAUUAGAUGACUUUGAAGGAAAAGUGGUACUUUCUCUUUGCUUCAAUCAUAAGAUGGUAACCCGCCCUAAGCAAGAUCGGUUCAGCAGGCCAAUUCACGCAUCUUCCGCAGCCCUAUAUGGAAAUGCUCGCCUUCGUCUUUUUUUCAUCCGGACUGAACGGUAAACUUGGGGUUCAGAUACAUCGUACCCCUAUGAUGAAAUCCGCCUAUUCCAUGGAUAAAGAAGUCCCACGUAGGAAAAAUGGUCGUUUUUGGAAGGCAAUAUUCUUCGCUCCUGCUAACCGUCCUCCGGACUAUCCGUAUGAACCUAGCCUUCGGACCAGUCCUCCGGCGCAAUUCAAUAUGCGACUUUGAACCUUUUUUUUCCUCUUUCUCUGAUGAGACUGAGUUCUCUUGUCGAUGUAGAGACUGAUGGGAAUAGGUCCAUACGAUGGAAUAGGGUCUCUUGUCAACCAGUGAGCUGUGAAGCGGCCUUCCUUCGCGACAAGUCAAUGAUUAGGACACCUUUCAGCGUCCAAUGAGUUCAGGGAAGGGGUUCAAGCCCUAAUCCAAAGUCUAUCUUCGCUAUAUCUUAACCUUAGCACUUCUCUGUACUAAGCUCUUUCACCCUGCUUUAGUAAAUGGCGCGUCUUUGAGUUCGUACUAUUACUCAGCAUGCAAGGUAUUGGUCUUUCGGGAAGAAAAUCAGGCUUGAAAGUCUUCUUUGGUGGGAGCCGUAGUUCGUAUCGUCUAUUGGCUCCCAAUUAUCAUUGCCUAUCCGCUCGAAGCCUUUAAGUAAAGGACUGGGGAAUUCCAUCAAUACUGAUCGUAGACAAUUGAGAUUAAGUGGGAAGAGUAGACUUGAAAGCGAGCGGGAAGAUGGCUGGGAGUAGCCUUUAAGAGUGCUGGUCUACCCCGAUUUUCCCAUUGAGAGGGAGGGAGCCACCCCUAUUCAAUUAGUAGAGCUCUAUUGAACCUUGGAAUUGGCCAAUCACCAAGGGCGAUCUUAGGUUAGCAUUCUCUUAGAAUAGAACGAACUCGAAAAAUCAGCGGUACGGCACAGCCGGGGAGAGCGAAGAAAGGUAGAGCACAACUAUCAUUUUCAGAAAGAAUCCCGCAUCCGAAAGAAGUAAUGCAAUUGCUUGACCCAAGAAGGUAAGGGAGAGGAAAGACCCCUACCGCUAACUUCUCUGGCCUAAUCUCCCAGAAGAAGAAGAAGAAGAUUUAGUGGUUUGAAAGUCAUAAGAGGCUCAAAGAAUGAUCGAAGGCGCAAAGAAUUUGCGAGCGACAGAUGACUGAGCAUCUGAAAAAAAGAGAAAUAGUUAUGACUUUAGAAACUUGUAAGAAAGAGAAGAUCGGCCUGGACAGAAGAGGAAAGAAGACUCCUUAUCGAGGAGAAAAGUCUAAAAAAGAUAUCAUACUCCAGCUCAUAAGCUCAUUCUUUUCUGCAAAUGAGGCGUCCGAAGGACCAAACCUUUUUGACCGCUACGCUCCUCUCCGCGGUGAUGAACCGAAAAUCUGAUAAUAGAUAGUCCGGAGGACGGCUCAAGACGAGCCGUCCGCUCCUUUUGAGUCUGAUUCCACUAAAAAAAAUGACGACGGAGCACUCGUCCUACGUAGCUUAAUAUGGGAGUCAGAAAUCCCGGGUUAAUAUGGAUAGUCAUCUGGACCUUGAUUUUUGGAGGCUCAAAGAAUCUCACGGAGGGGGAUAGUCCGGAGGACUGUUAAGGCUCAAUGUAAUAUGAGUGAAACCUAUUACUUUUCCAUAAUACUUUCAAUAAAAGUGGCAAUAAUGAAAGAUCAUGACUUCCUUCUUCUUCUUUCUGGGAGUCCGGAGGACCGGUCUUCUCUCAAAUUUCAUUGAGCCUAACUAUUCCUUGCUCCUCCAGAGGGAUCAUGACUCUCGCAAUAUUCUCAAAAUUGGAAGUGGAAUCUCACGUUCCCUAAUGGAUAGUCCUUCGGACCUGUCUUAUGGAGCAAAAAGAAAGAAUGUCAUCGUAAUCUCAUAUUUCAUUGACCGUUAGGCGCAAAGAAUAUAUUUAGAGUUUACAAAUUAGGAGAAAGUGCUGAAGAAUGAACUCAUUAACGAUAAUGAAAGAAGCUAAAAACAAAAUUCAUCCGCUAGAUUGAAGACGGAGUGAAAUACAUGAUUUUGCUAGUGAUAAGGAGUCCGCAGUCCGCAGUCCUACGUCCGCAGUCCGCAGGAUUUAUCCGUAGUCCGGAGUCCGCAGUCCGCAGGGCCAAAGAAAGGUCCAGGUGAUUUAUCCGUAGGACCAUCCAUAUGGAAGGAAGGAGGACUAUCCAUAUUCAGGAGCGGAAUCAAGAAUAGACCCGUCAGUAUCCGGACCAUAAACUCAAACUAGAACUGAUCCAUGUGAAUUUCUGGGAUAGGCUUGAUUCUUUCAUUGCGUUUUCCCGGCUUUUUUGCUUCUUUUUCAUACUUUUUCUCAUAUGGAUAUUCUACGAUAAUUGAGUGAAAAAGAAGGAAUUUUCAUGAUUUCUUGCUACUUUAUAGGCCCAAAACCUAGCAAAAUCUUGUAUUUCCCUCCGUCUGAAAUCUAGCAGAUUAAUCUUCAAUCUCCCUCUUUCUUUUGAAUUCCCAUUUUUUUCUUCUUUCAUUAUCGUUAAUGAGUUAAUUAUUCUUUUCUUUUCUUGACUUUUCACAGGCUCAAUGCAAUUUGAGCUUUCACCGCUACGCUACGCUGGAGCUACUCCGAAAGAAAGGUGCAAAGAAUAUUGCCGGACUACUGGGGGAUAUUGUUGAGAAAGAAUUAUCUUUGCGAAGGUUCAGCUUCAUUCCUAGGGCAUGUCCUCCGGACUAUUCGCUAUGAUAAAACCACUAAUACUCCGAAACCUCGAUCAUUCUUUGUCUUUGAACGCUUCUUUGUCAUUGAGUUCAUCUUUUCACCUUAUUCUUAGGCGAAGGCGCAAAGAAUAUUGAUAUUGCGGGAACUGAUUUUCAUAGCAAAGAUUCCACUAAUAGAUUUGCCGACGAAUGAAUAAUGAAUAAAGCUUGCCGAUCGAUCUUUAAAGAAAAGCCUCUCUUCAAAGAGAUUACGAGACAGAUUACCUAGCAGCCAAUUCCCUGUCUUCUCUCUCUUUCCAUAUGGAAUUCCCUUGGAGAAUAGACGAAGAGAUGUGAGAGCUUCCACGGAGAAAAAAGAUAAGCCUACUCCAUCCUCUCAAAUUCUUUGACCCAUCUUUUGUAUAGUUAUAGUAUAGCUUCCGGCUAGUUCACACCGAUAAAGGAGAAUAAGAGAUAGGGUCAAGCCUAUUCUACUCCGGAUAUGGUCUCGUAGUAAUCCCCUUCCCCUUUUCAGAUCUGAGGCCUCAUCUAAUUCCCCUCGUAACCCCUUCCGAUUCCUUUGGUAUUCUACGAGGAGCUUUGCUCCCUCGAGCAGCCUUUCUCCUCUAGGUCGAGUCGUAAACAAAGUAUAUUGCCUCUCUGGCCCGGCUCGAGCAGCUUAGUAAUCCCCUUCUCCAACCCUUUGCUUCUGAAAGAAAGAGAAAGAGAGAAUGAAAUCUCUCGCUGGACGGGUUAGCUGUGUCUAACCUUCCCCUUAGAGAUAUGAUAAGACCUCUACAACUCGGUCAGCUCAAACCAAAAUAAUAGCCGCAAUAUUCUUUGCGCCUGGACCUUUCUUUUUGCCGCUUAAUGUCUAAUCUUUCUCAAUCUUCUUUCUCACGCAUAUUUCAUUGCGCCUCCAAAGUCAAAUUCUCUAAUGGAUAGGCCUUCGAGCAAUAUUCUUUGCGCCUUCCAGUCUUGUCAACGCAUAUUGAAUUGCGCCUUCUAUAUAUUCUUUGCGCCGGAGUUAGGAGCUAUUCCACUAACGAGCCUUUGGCUUUCUUCUUUUCAUUCACAUUACCGCGUAGUGGGAUUCUUUGAGCCUUGUUCAUUGACUUUCUUCUCUAGUAAAGCUUUUUUUUUGUUCAUGCUUCGCUAGGCUUGAUCUUUUUAGUGGGAAUAUAUAGGAUGAAAGUAGCGGCAUAAUAAUAGAAAGGUGGAAUCCUUGCUUUAUCUCUUUUUUCAUCCUCCUUCCCUUUAUCCUUUUAUUCCCUUUAUCUAAGAAAGCUGAAAUCUCGUGAAUGGAUGAGGACUGAAUUCAAAGUUCAAAUAGGAGGCUCAAUCCCACGGAGGGGGAGUCCGCAAUAAUCAGCCUACGUCAGGCUUUCGGUGAUUCAUUCAUGGUGGAUAAGGAUCGGUUUUCAUAUGCACAAUGGUUGAAUACAAGGAACCUCGUUCAUGAGCUAGGUCGCGGGAUACCAUUUUCUCAUGAAAGAGCGGACACAAGACAAGAGCCGAAACUCUAUAAGAAAAUCAAGCUCCAGAUGAGUUGACGCUCGAACCCCACGAUCUUCCCCCCGACUGAAUCCGGCUAACCGAGCCAAUGAAGAGUGAUUAUAGCGCGUGGAGCAUUUUUUUUUCCUUCGUAGCUUCCCAAGAACUAAUGGGGAAGGCUGCAUGAAUAUAAAUGAGAAGUGGAAUCAUCCAUCCUCAACAAGGUCUGCAACCGCUUUCUUUCUCCCGCCUGGGUCGCUGCCUCCCUUUCUUUUAAUGGCACCAAGUCCGAGAUUCCCCGAUUACGCCAAGGAUUCCGCGCCCGGAUGGAUCCUUGAAAGGAGAGGCAAAGCCAAACCCGUAAACCGGCUUCAAACUUCCUGAAACCCGGGAAAAUGAGCCUGAGCAGGUCAGCACACUUUUCUACGAGGGAAAGGUUUCGGCCAGAUCAGUGGCAUCCGCUGAAAGGGCAGUUGCUAGCCCUCGUCUUCUUCUCAAUCGAAAGAUCGGAAAGCUCGAGAAUGAGAGAGUAUUUCCUAUUUCCUAGCGGAAUGAAGAUUUUCUAUAUGACUGUAGUGAAUAACUAAGAAAAGAUUCCAUGAAGACCAGGGAACCGCGGAGUGGGUCACGGGGCAGAGGCAUAGAGGUUAGAAAGCGCAAGACCAUACCGAAAAGAGACUGCAGGUGAAUCCGUCGGAGGAAGCCAGAUUAAGCAGAUAGGUAGAAGGGAAGGGUCAGAGCGCCGGAAGUCGGAGGAGGAGCUCUCUCUCGCUCUCCUUUCUUUCUUCUUUCAGUAGCCCUCGCUUUUCUUGCCAGCAUGCGGAUUCUUCUUCCUGGCAGCUAUCUCUCUUGCCUCAUCUUUAGCUUAAUUCAAUUAACCUACUAUAUCAAGGAUGAAAAGGCUUAAGGAUUGGAUGUCCCAUCCCAUUCUCUUAAAGACAGUGACUUCCACCCAUGAGAAAAUAGUCCUAAUAGGGGGGACGUCCCUCUUUCAUUAUCAGCUAGGAAGCAUGGCUCUCCUAACUCAAUUCAAUCUUCUUUGAACCUCCCGUACGCCCACUCGACGUCCUCCACCAGGAGCACUAUUAUCAUAAGCAAGAGAGUCCGAGGUCCCUUUCGGCAGUUGCAGCUUGCUUCGGGCUCGCUUUCUUCUUUUUCUCAAAAUUAGUUGAUUGCUAAGGCCUUUCUUCAAAAUUUCCAUGUCCCAAGAAAAAUGUGAAGACGGACGGAGACGUGAUCCCAUUCAAUCCUCGGACAGGAGGAUGGAGUGUGAAACCUCUUUCCUAACCUCGUCCUUUCGCACAAAGGCUUGAAUCCACGUAAAUUGCGAGAAGAGGUGGCCUAUUUCCUUAUUGCCUUUUCUUGUAAUAAAUCGCCAACAAUAUCCCUUAUGGAGCCUACAAUUGAGUGAUUUUUCUAUCUAUUUUCCUUGGUCUAAUCUGAACCUCUUUUAGUAGUUUCGCUCGAGCGUGAACCUCAACCGGCGGACGACCCUCUUUCAUUAUCAGCUAGGGCGAGAGUCCUACUCGAAGUUACUAAGUUACGUGAUAGAACUCAUUUCUUUAAGAGUACAAAUCAGUCUUUAUUAAGAGAAGAUGGGACUUCGACCAGUUAGUUCUCAGCCUUUCCUUUCUAUUUUGGGUCCGAUCUCAAGAUAACUUCCGCCUCUGAUUAAAGGACGAAGUUGUCUUCCUUGUCUAAGUCAUCUCUCAACAAAUCAAUAUCCCCUAUCCAUAGAUCUUUGCGCCUUCUAUAUAUUCUUUGCGCCUCCUUCUCCAUCCCUAUUUCUUUAUUUAUGGAUGUUCAUUGAGGCGUCUUGACCCCUUAUUUAGCAGAUAAAUGCGCUUCGCUGAUGAUCUCAACUUCUAUCACUUUUUUAUGGAUUCCUUGCUUCUAACCAACUCAAGAACAAGAGGUGAAAAGUCGCAUAUUUCAUUGCGCCUCCGGACCGGUCCCUAGGCUUUCUUCUUCUUUUGGAGCCUCAGUCAGACAAAAGAUUACCCGCCCCAAAGUCGAGGCCAAAGGCCCACGUAGCGGUAAUUUGAAUAAGGAAGUUUCAGACCCACUCAAGCGAAACUAGGAAAGAAGCGAUAUGGCCCCUGGUCUUGAGGGCAGGGACUUUUCCUACGAUACCAGGCGAGACUAAGCAGAAAUAGGAAGUGGAAGUCAUUCUUUAUCCAAGCCAACCGCUUUCAAGCCCCUCUCCGCUGGAUCUGUCCUUUGAGACGACUAUGCCCUACUAGUUUACUUAGUCCCUUCCCUUGUGUGCCAUCCGGAACUGCUAUCCCUUAAGGUUUUUAGCUGCUAUCCCGCCUGGGAAUCUACUGCUACCUACUCCAAUAUAAGGCUUGGGUGAAUGAUUGGAUCCCGACAUAAGUACUCUAUCCACUCCUUCUUCUUCUUAGUCUUUGACUUCAGCUUCUUACCUGGAUUCUGCUUAUUCUGCUUCACGAAAAUGAAAGCCCAGUGAGGAAGUACUUGAAAAAUGCAAUUUUCCAGCUCUUAGAAAAGUCAGAAUUCUAAUGUGAACCACUUCCUAAUCUUUGUCUUGAGUUAGUGCUUUUGAGAUUGAUGAAAGGAAAGCUUUUCGGGAGCUAGCAGUCCUUCUUCUUUGCGAAAGAGAGUAGCUCAAGCAAGUCAAUUUCCCUUAAAGAAGAUAAUGAACUAAGAGCUUUUCUGCGCUACAAAGAAGAAAGGAUAGAGAUAGAUAGUUGAAUAAGCUAGACCGCUGCAGGUGCAAAGAAUAUUGCGAAUAAGAAGAUAUUAAGAAGAUCUUCCUUCUGUGACAUUUAGCCCGAAGAAAAUCAGCCUAUUCUAUACCAGCUUCUUCUAUAGAUGAGAUAACUGGAUCAGAUGAAAUAGCAAGGGAUAUGAGCAGCUCAAGCAGCAGAUUCUAUUCUGGGCAUGAAUGUGCAACCUAUCGAAAGAAAGAGUCCUCUACUUCCCACCGUGGCAGCUAAAGUCCUUCUCAAUAUUCUUUGAGCCUCGGUCGAAACUUUCCCCUUUCUUCCUUCAACCACGUAGUGGGGUCGAUCCGAUACCUCCCUGUGGAAAUACAAGGGCGGGCUAGUCUCAUUCCGAAAGAUAGAAGAGAGAUUGCACCCCUUUUGAUUUGAUGAAAUUACAUGCUCUCCGAACUCCUCUCGUGCCUAUCGCUGUCUCUGAAUAAGUAGCCCUGCACCCAUCUUUCCUCCGCACGCACCUGCACCCUACCUCUCUUUACCUCGCCCUGGCUAACUCCUUUCCCAGUCUUCUUUCUAUAUUAUAUAACCUCUUGACUUCCUUCUUUUAUUCAAAUGCAUCCGUUAGUGGGUCAAGCUGCUUUCGCUCCUUCUCCUUACAGUCGGAAAUCUUAGCAAUAUUCUUUGCGCCUCAAAAUCAACUCGGAAAUCUCUCAAAUUGCAUUGAGCCUCAAUUCAAUCUUCUUUGAACCUCGUGCCUCUCUCUUGGACUGGGUUGUGCUAUGGCUUGAAUCUCGCAUAGGGCGAAAUUUGCACAUUCGAACUAAGAUAAGAACAAGGGGUUUGGCUGAAUUCUAAUGGUUCAUUCUCAUUCAUGAAAGAAAGCAAGGGUAAUUAUCCUGAAAAGAAGGAAAAAGGACGCGUAGGAGGAGGCUCCAUAAGACAGGGAUAUUGUAAGCCGAUAUUGCUGUUUUUACCUGAAUUACGAAGUGAAAGAAGCCGAUCUUGCUCUUUUGACCUCAUUUGGCUCUAGGAUAAAAUCACACAAUUACGGAGUGAAAAAAAGAAAGAUUAUACUUGCUUUCUCAAAUUCUUUGAGCAUCGACCGCCUUGAUUUUCUUCUUUUAUGAGGCACAAAAAGAAAGAAUGUCAUCGCAUAUUUCAUUGCACCGCGGAGUGGGUUCCAUUCUUCCCGCUCCCUUCUCGUACGCCUAAGACAAUAUCCAUUCUUCCCGCGUAGUGCUUUCUUUAUUUCUAGUCCUCCGUCCAAACAAACCGAGCACCUUUCGCUCUUUCGCAAUAUUCUUUGCUCCUACCGGUCCUCAGUCCUAUCCAUUAGAGAAUUUGAUGAGGAGGAGAGAAAAUCUUCUUUUCACCUUUCUAGUCGGACUAGAAAUCCAUUAUUUUGCACUUCUUUAUCAAGCUUAAUCUGUGGACUUGAUUUAUGGGGUGAUGAGACAUGCCCUUGUCGAGCUUCGAUAAUUCUUGAGAAUAUGAAUUCACCGCUCCUCUUGAGGCUGAAUGAAUAUGAAUAUGAGAAAGAAUUUGAUGUUUUUCUUUCUCACGCAAUAUGCUUUGCGCCAUCAAAGAAAGGUCCAGGGUCCGGAGUCCGCAGUCCGCAGUCCGGAGUCCGCAGGGCCAAAGAAAGGUCCAGGGUCCUACGUCCGCAGUCCGCAGGAUUUAUCCGUAGGACUAUCCAUAUGGAAGUAGUCCGGAGGAUUUAUCCGUAGGACCAUCCGUAAUUAACAGAAGCAGGCGAUCAGAAUGAUCGGAGUGCAAGUAAAGAAAUCCAUAUUUGUGGAUAAGAGAGGUCCUUCGGACUGGACCCUUUCUAAAUUGAAAAUUCACCAAUGGCGUCAUAAGGUGGUGCAUGGGUUCAUUCUUAGUCAAAGACGGACAACGACACACCAGGACCCAUGGAGGAUGAAAUGAGAGACCGCUAGGGAUGAGGAAUGAACUCGCCGUUUAGGAUGAUGAAUUGAGUUGCUCGACCCGUAGUUUAGCAAUUAGUGGAAUUAACAAGUCCUCCGGUUCCCGCAAUAUUCUUUGCUCCUCACUAUUUAGCGGAAACUGCUUUAUAAGGGAUCAUGACGGAUAUUAUUGGAAUCAGACUCAAGAGGAGCGGUCUCGAAAUAUUCUUUGCACCGCACCGUGGGGGAGGCGCCAUAAGACAGGGAUAUUGUUGACCUCUUAUUUUGAGUUCUUGCUUUCUCUCUAUCUUGAGGCUUCGAACCUUGACGCUUGAUUCUAGUUCACACCGAGUCAACUCUAGCUGCCCGUGAUAGGCAUCCUUCUAAGUCUCAACUUCUUAGUUUAUUCAAUAGAUACCCUCAUUCAGAGGCUUUACGGUCGAGAUCCGAUCCAAGCAAAGAAGGAUUCCUGCUGGGCAGUGGACUUGACUCAAGAGGGAUGGAUGCCGAUUCGAGAAUGCCCUAGCGUGUCUUCCCCGAAAGGCUUUUGAUGCCAUUUCGAAAUGGGCAAGAAGUUUUCUUCUGCAACGAGAGAAGAGAAACUCUCGAUCGGCCGCACUCUGGUCGCGCUUCUCGGGCUGCUAAGGCAUUGAAAGAGACUGAUUUUAUGCGCCUUUCCGGUCUCCGAUCCUGGGACUCGCCUCUCUUUCCUCUCCCUUCCUAUCCCACGGGGUUUGGCACUUUUCUCUGACUCAUUCAAGAGAAAGAGCUCUUCUUUUUCUACUUCCUCUUCUUGCUUAUUAAAUACAUUAUGUCUUUAUUGUACCUUUCUAGUUAGUGAGCUGAGCGGCGCGUAUGAAUAUCAGAGACUGAAGCCGAUCCCUUGUUGAAGAGCAAAGACAGAGCAAGACACCUAGAAGGACCUUGCUGACCCUUGAUCUGCGCCCCCCACUCCGCGGUAAAGCAUCUUCGCACCUCUCACUUACGGGAGAGCAUCUUCGCACCUUGACAUCGAAGAACUCUUGAGAGCUAAGUCCUCUCACUUGAGAAUUCCGGAGUCGAGUUCCUUCGCUUCGGGGAACCCAAGAACCCAACCAAGCAAGGACAAGAGAUCUCAUUCACAGAUACUGGUGCACGAACCCAGUACCCGAAAGGAAGAGCUAACCCAAAGCAAGAAACCUAAGAGGCACCUUGCUCCUUCUUGCUCGUCGUUCUCGGGGAACCCACACCCCCUACCUCUCAUUCUCCUGCUAUGGGGGAAGGACCCAUGCCCCCUGUACCUAAGAGCCUCCUUCUUCCCUCUUCUUGCCAUCUGUUGGACUCAACAACUCUCCUUCUCCUCACCCAAGAACAAUUCAAGGUGCUAGGUGGACCGGACCCUUUCUAUCAUUCCGAAAGCUCCUUUCUUUGCUCAUUUGACCUCUUAUGCCUUCGGGCUGGUACCGAAUUCCCUUGAUGCCUAAUUUCUCUGGCCCUACUUACCACCCUUAUAGCAAGAUAGCUAAUCCAAUCAUGUGAUAAUGGGUGAAUGAAAGCGGGUUUGACUAGUUUGAAUGCUCCAAUCCCAAGUCAAAUGGGAGCAGGUUGGAACCUAGGAGUGGGAUCCACCAUUAGGAAUUCCCAGUUAUCAUGGUUGAGCUAUGAAGUGAAUGGAAUAAAGAGGAACCUACUUACCGAUAGCGAAGCGAAUACUCGUGCAAGCGCAAUCAAUGAAGAAGGGCAGUGGUUUUCUAAAUCAAUGAACGUCCAUAAAUAGGAAGCCUAGGAAGAAAAAGAAGACAAGAGAUCAAUGAACAAGGUUCAAAGAAUAAUAGUAUUCAUGUUUUCAUAGAAAGGAAUAAAAGGAAGAGAACUAGUCCUCCGCGGAGAUAGAGAGAAAGAAGCGUAAUUGAAGGCUGAAAUUUCGUGCAAGUGCAGAGGCAAGGCUCAUUAUCGAAGAAAGCCUAUCCAACUUUCUCUCUUAUGUUUUGAAUUCCACCGCGGGAGUCAGACAGGGAAAAGACAGAGUCAGAGGUCCCAGAUAGGAGCGAAGUAGCUUUACCCAUAUUCAUAAGUUAGAAGCAGCUAUUUUGAAGUUUGAUAGGUAGGAGACAAGAGGGAAAGGCCCACCCAGGAGAGGAGUUCUGAAUAUCGGAUUAUGACUUUCGCAGAGAGAAAGAGGAUUUAUUUAGAAAAGAGCUUCAACCUAUUCUUAGCCCAAGCAAUAGGCGCCGCCAUUCUUUGAAUUAAUUCAUUAAGGAAGAAGAAAUUGAAAAAUCAUAAGUUCAUUCUAGCUCUUUCUGCUGACUUCUUCUGAUUGAGAAAACCCAGGGCAAGCCUUGUAGUCGGCUGGUAAAGGUCUGGCAGAGUAUCAACGGAGAACAAGCUGAAAGAGGAACUUUUCAUUGUGCGGGAAGACGUAUAAUAUGGACUGAAUUCAUAAGCUCGAGUCAGACUUUCAGUGCGAAUUCUCUUUUUUUUCAUGGUUUUGACAUAGCAUAGGCUGAAUGGAAAUUCCUUCUAUCUUGAAAUUCUAUUCUAAGUCGCUUCCCUUCUUCUCUCAACUGCUACAACUCUCCGUCUUCUGAUGUUCCGCUCCGUCGCAAAUUCUUUGGUCCUCCUACGCUUAAGAUGGGACCGGCAAGACCCUGCAAUAUGAAAAGCGCCUGUCUCGCCUCUCCUUUCAGUCGAGAGCCUCCUUCUUCUUCUUUAAAAAGAAGGGUCCAGGUUUCAUAAGACUCCUUCUACGCGGUCUCGCCCAGCUUUUGAAAGAGAAAGGGCGGGCCUCUCGGGAGGAAGCAUAUGGUAAUGGGAAUUCCGCCCACCUACUAUGCCUUCUUCCCUACAAAACGGGGAGGAUAAUUCCACUGAUAGUAAAAGGAUGCCGGAUCGAGCGAGUUAGGGUGGGAAAGAAAUAGGGAUUCUUUGGAAGGAAGAUAGCUCCAGGUAAAGCUACUCAUCAACCUCCUCCUAAACUCAUUUGUACGAGGGGAACCGCGGAGGGAGUGGGCAAAUGCCUUCUUUCUUAGUGAGAAUCUCGUUUUUAGUGAAGCCCAAGGCAGCAUGAUUUCUUCUUUGAACCUCUCUUUGGGCAGAAAGAACUGGCGAGACCAUUUUGAUCCAUUGAAUUGUUGGGGAAGCAGAAAGGUAAAGGUAAGAGUCCGCUCGAUCAAUCCCCACUACGCGGUAAGCUGAAAGAUGCGAUCUGGCCGUCGGCCUAUUUCUUGAUUUCUUUCUUUGACUUUUACGUGGGAUGCAAACUAAACCAUUAGCACAGGCAUUCCAGGCAAUGAUUCGACUUCUUAUCUUGGGGAUUCAACCCCUAUUUAUUUAUGGAUGUUCAUUGAGCGAAGGACUGAUUAAUUCCACUGAUUUCUAACGCAAUAUUCUUUGCUCCUAGCAAAAACUCAAAUUUCAUUCAGCCUUCUGACUGUCCAUAUUAAAUUAAGGAACUGAGUAGGCGGGAGAGAAAGCAAUAGCUCCACCUGUUCGGGAUAGGAAUUCAGGAGAGACCAACUCUCCUCUACUUAAAGUAGCUGCGGCUGUUGAAGGAUCCGUUGAAGCUCUUGAAGCAGAGGUCUUCUUCGACUCCUUCCUUCCUGAAUGAAUGAUAAGGGGCUUCUUUCCUAAUUCAAAGCCUAGGACAAUGAAUGAAUUGCCUUUCCCCUCCCAAUUAAAUUAAUUAACAAAGACUAUAAACAACCUACGGAAAACCAUAGUAUUAAUCAAAGACAAAAAGAAGAAAGCCUAGGAUCAACCCAGAUCCAUUGACAAGAAAGCGCAACUUCGCAAUAUUCUUUGCACCUCCUAACCUAACCAUUAACAACCACUAGAUAAAGACCUCCGGAGCGGUGGAAUAUCGAGGUCCUUUCAGAAAGCCUAAAGAUGAAAUAAAAGGAUAGGCUUUCAGUAUUAUUUUGAGGUUUCAAGUCCCGCAACAAGGCUCCAUAAGACAGGGAUAUUGUAAGGGGUCCAGAUGAGUCAGAAACAUUGAGACCAGGCGCAAAGAAUUUGCGAAGGAACCGAGAAAUGAAAGCGAAAACGAAUAGUCCAAAAACCAAGGCGCAAAGAGCGACGUAGUGCUUUCUUUAUUAAUCCUUCUCCGCCGCAACAAGAGAAGUUCUAGGAUACCGAUAUACCGCAAGAAUGCAAUUCCAUAAACAAGUCGGGAAAUAGAGGGUUGGACUAGCUAGCCGCCCAAUAACUCACAGGUCUUUCUUUCCUUAUUCAUAUCAGAAGCAGAAGAAAGGGAAGAGGAUAAAGUCAUCAAGGAAAAAUCAUGGCAAUAUUCUUUGAACCUCCGGACUAUCCAUAUUAGGCGGACUUCGCCUUAAGACUCCUUGCUAUUGGGUCCGACUAGAAACUGAAAGUAGGAAAGCCUAUCUUUCUCUUUCAGACUCUUUAAAGUCAAGAGGGUAAAGCAUAUUCUAAGCUCUCCCUUUAGCUCUCGCACAAGACCCCUUUAUUUAUGGAUGUUCAUUGAGCCUUGUUCAUUGACUUGAUGCGGUAGGCGAAGAAGCCAUCCAGUAGCAAGCGCUUGAGAAUGAGUCGAAGGCAAAAUCCUUCCGUUUUUGUUUUGAGUAGGCGCUAUCUAAGUCAAUCCGUGCUAAAAGGAAGGAAUAGAAAAGGAAGCCUUGGGCAUAAUAGUCAGAGAGAGUAAGGGAAGUCCUGCUUUCAAGUGCUUUAUCGUAAGGGUCUGAAUAGGGUCCACCAGUAGCUGCUCUUAGUAAGACCAGUCACAGGGAUAUAUCGCUCAAAAUUCAAUAUCAAAGAGAUUGCAUUGAUACUUAGACUGAUAGCGAGCCGGAAGAGCAAAGUGAUGAAUCAGUCGAGACAGUCUUAGCUAUAAUCUCUGCCCUUACCGUGGAGUGGGUAUCUUUUCUCGUCUGAAAAGAGAAUAGUCUUCCUCUCUUUGUGAAUUUGCAGGUUUGAGAUUAGAAUGCCAUACUCACCCUGCAACUUACAGAAUCCGCAGCGAAAGAAAAGAUUCAAUCUUAUUCGUAAUGCUGGCUAAGAGAUUUUCGAUUCAGGGCGGGAUGGGACUGUAAAAUGGGUGAGGUAGGGUCUAAUCUUCGCUCUACGAGAGAAAGCUGAAAGGCCCGCUAAAAGUUGGAGAAGGAGCGAAAGAUAUCACGAAAUACCUUGAUCAAAGAGCAGACCCAAGGAAGGGAGUGCUUCGAUUCCCUUUAGCUCUUAGCUCUACGGAUGACUAAGAAGGCAGGAUCAAAGCGGGUGAGAGCAGGAGCACUGCUCGUCCUGGCAUAGCCGUAUGAUUUCGUCACAGAUUGUAUUCUCUCAUCCCGGCUUGUAAUGGCGAAAGCUAGAUUUCAUGGACCAGGUUGCCCUUUUUAUUCUUUCAAAGACUAUUACAAAGAUUACUCUCCGUCGCACUCACGGUCAUUAGUCUGGUUAGCUCUUCCUGAUAGGUUGAAAAGGAUGAAAGCCUUCUGACUUUCCUGACCCAUAGUCAGAUUUUUCAUACUCUGGAAAUCAGAUAAAAAGGUGAAAAGAAUAUUGACGGUUGGGUUCCUGGACAAAAAGGAUGAAAGUCGAGAAUUUCUUGGGUCCAUGUGAGCUAAGAGGUUUCUGAUGAGUGGUAGAGCAGUUGAUCUAAGCCUCAGUGCGGAUGAUGAAUUCUCUGACACAUGGCCAUCUUCCCUCUUAUUAAAAAGAAAAAGCCUACUUUGCUUUUCGGGUAUUGAGCUCACUGGGAAGCCUUCGCUUGAACCCUCAUUGCUACCGUCCUUUGACUUCACGGAAGAUUUGGUAUCCAACCUCUACCUUUUUUGGUUGGCAUUCCCAUUAUUCUUUCUACUCGUCUUCUUGGACUGGACUUCGGUGACGAAGGGAUCGAAGAUUUGGAUGAUCCAAGGUCGCGGCCUCCCAAGUUCUGCUGAUUGCCUGAUAUGGCUAAAUUCGAUGGUUCUGGAGAUCCCAAAGCCCCUAUAUUUCAGAAUAUCUUCUUGCGAUGAAGACCACUACUCUCAUCACGAAGGAGCGCAUUUCCUUCUUUGCUCUCUUUUUGGAAGGAGGAGCAAUGCGGUGGUACUAUAGCUUGGAUGCCAAGAUAGAGGUGGGGCGAGAUGGCCGAAAUCCGGAGCAAUUUGGAUACAAUGUCCAGCUUGAUCUUACUUUGCCUGAACACUACCAGGCGGCUCCCAAAGAUCUUCUUCAUUCAUUUCCAGAUGGAGUGGACCUCUUGCAAGCCUUCGCAAGCCUGCGCAGGGUAUCCCUAUUAUAGUGGGACAAGCCAGGUUCCUUCGUCAGUAAGGAAGAGACCGAGCCGUAGUAUAGUCCUUGAUGUGGUAAAUCUUCCUAGCCCCGGUAUUACGCAAAAUGUAGGAGUAUCCUAGCUUGCAGAAGAAGAAAAGAAAGAAGAUCUAGCCCAUAGUAAUCUAAUAGGAUUUACUCAUCAUAAAAAGGAAAGAAAGAUUUCCUUAAUCUAUUGAUAUUAGAAUAUUGAAGGGAUUUAUCCCCAAGAAUAUCCCGUCCUUCGGACAGACGGGUUAAUAUGGAUAGUCCUUCGGACUGGCACAAAAGUCAAUCAAAGAAAAUCAGAAUGAACUCAUUAACGAGAAUGAAAGAAUCAUUAAGAAAUGAAAGAAGAAUUAUGAAUCUGCUAGAUUUCAGACUAGUCCUUCGCGGAGUGAAAUCCCGGAAAAUGCUAGGUUUUGCCCAUAGGGAAGUAGCAAGAAAUCAAGUCAAAUGCCUUCUUUUUCACUCAAUUAUCGUUAUUUAUCAAUAUGAGAAAAAGUCCUAUUUAGAAGCAAAAAAGCCGGGAAAUAGCAAGGCAUUGUCCUAUUUGAUUUUCGAAAUUCACAUAGUUUGAUUCUUGUUUGAGUUUAUGGUCCGGAGAAUUACGGGUCUAUUCUUGAUUCCGCUCCUGAAUAUGGAUAGUCCUCCUUCCUUCCAUAUGGAUGGUCCUACUUCGGUUAAUUACGGAUGGUCCUACGGAUAAAUCCUCCGGACUACUUCCCUCCAUAUGGAUGGUCCUACGGAUAAAUCCUCCGGACUACGGAUAAAUCCUGCGGACUCCGGACUCCGGACUACUUCUGUUAAUUACGGAUGGUCCUACGGAUAAAUCACCUGGACCUUUCUUUGGCCCUGCGGACGUAGGACCCUGGACCUUUCUUUGAUGGACUUCUUUAUCCAUUAGUCGUUAGGCGCAAAGAAUUUGCGAAAGAAGGUGAAAAGAAUAUUUCAUGAGUGCAAGGCUGAAACAUUAGAUACCGGAAGCCUACGGCUGGGUCAAGACGAUCCAUAAGACAGGGAUAUUGUAAGGCGCAAUUCAAUAUGCGAGGUCAAAUCAAUCAUUUUCAAGGUAGAAAGAAAAGCCCACCUAGCGGUCUAGAGGUAGAGGAGCCGGUCUAGGCUGGAGCUCAUCAGUAGUAAGAGGAGAGUCAUCAGUCGAUGUUUCAGAAGUAGCGGAAGUAGCCCUUCCUUGGUCUUGCCGCAAACAAAUAAAGUGGGUUUUUUCCUAUCCCCUCUUUUUUUGAAGGAGGAGAAGGGCUUGAAAGAGUUCACGAGGGGAAGGAGUAGUGGCUCGACCUCUUCUCUAAUAGAAAGAAGUGGAAAAGCAGAAGAGGAAGUACGAAAAGAAUAAGCCGGAUAACCAGAUACCGGGGGAAGAGAAUGCGAGUAGGUUCUCAUCAGUCUUUUUAUUAUCCGUAGUUUUGAAGAUGAAAAGAAGAAAGAGUGCGGUUCGGGUAGGAGCUGCUUCUUAGUCAAGCAAUUCCAGGGGUUUCGUUUACUCUAUAGGCCUAGCUUACUAAUCUAACUUCAUUCCCGAGGGCUGGCCGAGAGAGAGCAUUAGGAAUGGGAGAUUCUACCGCGGGGGGCCGUAGCAUCACUCCUUACUCCUUAAGAGCCGCGUAGUGGGCAUCAUUUCUUAACAAGAAGAAAGCGCAAAGAAUAUUGCGGAAAAGGAGAGGUUCAAAGAAGAUUUCCGCUUGAUCCAUAAAAUAGAGAAAGGCUUUAGUUUACUUGAGGCAGAUUUGCUUAGCUCUUCGUAGGACCCCACGGAGCGGAGAGGGAUGAAAUAGCGAGACCAAUCCAUAAAAUCAGAGGAAGAGCGACCAAGAGGACGAAAUGCAGCUCGACUUCCAGAGGCAUGAGACCUUUUUCCUGUUAAGUCAAAGUCGGGUGCGGGUUCCUUUUCUAGCCAGCCCGCCAACGGAUGGAAGUUGAGUUGCUAUCAUGACUUCCUUCUUCUUCUUUCUGGGAGUCCUCCGGACCGGUUCUUUCCUCAAAUCAGAGUUCAAAGGGCAACUGCAUUCCUUUUCCUCGUUCACUCGGUCUAUAGAAAUAGUUCAUGGCUAGGGCUACUAGUCGUCAUACUUCUUCUUUGAGAAAGAGAUGGAACUCGUUCUCAUUGUUCAUAUUGCCGCUAUAUGAGUGAAUUCACGAGAUUCAUAAGAAAAUAAUCGCUUUGCAACACAACAAGAGCGACAGCCUCAACCGGAACAAGGGCCUCAAUGAACAAGGGGUUAGGGAUUGAAUCCGAUCUAUCCUAUCAGAAAGAAAAAUCAGAAUAAUUCAUCGCUUAGCUACUCCAAGACCAAGCACUUCCUCAACAGCUAAAUGCCACUGCUGGUCGAACUGCCGGUUCUGGGUCUCGUCUUUGGUACUGGGCGAGCAGAUAUAUACCUGGGAGGGAUUCGGCAGAAUCAAGCAGUUUGCCUUCGGCCGAUCCUGAAGAGGUAGGGAAUUUGGGGUAAGCAAAUGCAAACUCUUUCCAUCCGUGAAUGAAUAAAGCCGUCUUCAAUGGAUGUUUUUGUACGCUUGUACGCUUUGAUGCUACUGAAUUUAUAUCAAAGCACAAAACAGGGCUCAAAUAACCCUAAGAACUUGCCAAGUUCCCACUUCCAUCCUAGUUUGGAUUGGGUUUUAUGCUACUGAAUUUAUGCAAAAACAAGGUAUUUCGAUUGUUUUCUUGCAUCCGGCCUAUAGCUCAAAGUGACUAAAUUGGCAUCCUUCGAGUAUCGUUCUUAAUAGUUUCGUCAGUCAUAAAAAACCGUGGGAACUAAUGGCCCCACUCCGCGGUGAGAACUUGCGAUGCAAACCAUGGAAGAUGCAAAUCGGUAAAGGAAUGAACCCAUUGACUCAAGCGCAAGAACUGGUAGAGACAGCAGUCCCCAACCGUGGAGGAAGGAAGUCGAGACUCCUAUACAUGAAUUUCAGGCGGAAGACAGAGCGGUUCAAACUUGCAGAGAGAGCGCAGAGUUUUUGAAUAGUCGAGUAAAUCAUAAGGCUUCUUCCCUGUCCGACCCGGAUCCUUCUCAUUCCCUUGCUCGAGAGAGAGAUUCCGCCGAGACUUUUCUACUACUUCUCUGAUAAUGACCGGGCCGCUGCCUCUUGGGAGAGCUGCUUUAGCGUUGAGACCCCUUUUUGUACUUAUUCCUCGGGUAAGCCGUUGAGACCCAAGUCCUACGGGAUUCUGGAGACCGAAUUUCAUAGAAUUCCGCCGACCCCACUAAUUCAGAGACAGCUUCUGAUCCCUUCUAGCCGAUACCGAGACAGAGACUGAUUUCUUCUUGUCUAGCUGCCGAAAGAUAAUAGUAAUAGUACUUCUCCUCUUCCGUAGGUCUCUCCGCAAAUUCUUUGCUCCUCUGACGGGGACUGAUGCGGAUACAGUCUAUUCACACCGCGAGUAAACUCCAACUAAGCAGCAAAGACGACUUCUUUAGCGGUUUCAAGUCGUCCACUCAACAAGGGUCGAGCGAGUCCCACUAAGAUCCUGCCUUUAGGUAGAGCGGCUUCUUUCACUCCGUAAUUCAGCCGAUCUUGCUGUUUUGACCUCAUUUGGCUCUAGGAUAAAAUCACACAAUUACGGAGUUCAAGUCCCCGCUCGGCCUCUAACUGGUAUGAGAUAAUAUAAUACCGACUGAAGACCCUCUUCUGAUAGCUUGAGGUCUAACCUAUCCUUCUAGGUCUCGCUUACUCAUGCAUUCUCAUACCGGGAAAAAGACCAAGUCUUCGAGGUUCCUCCUCGGAACCAUCUCCUAACCCUCCCACGGGGCGGUCGAGCCUAAUCUAGCCUACGAUGGAUGAGGGGAGAUUUCCUCUUCUUCUCCGGAACUCCAAGAGAGUAGCUUCCCCGCCGCAAGAGAUAAUUCAAGGGAUAAGGUCCGAGCCUUUUCCAGGCUGAUUUUCGGGAAGAGAUUCUUUCUCCAACCUAGCCUUUAAAGUUCUAGGUCUUACCCCUACGUGGGCCUUGUUCAUAGAAUGAAAUACCGGAGAACUCCUAAUCCACUCUACUAGGUCACAUCCAUCCGCGCCCUUGGAUCUGAGAACUUCUCCUUCAAGUUACCUUGCCGACUCCCCUACUUCAGGUUCAGGGGACCCUACUCUGACUUCUUAGUUCUCGCUUGAAGUGAGCACUUCUUCUUUCUCUGGAAGUUACCUGUGGCCGGUCAAUCCGGUAUCCCUUUCAGUUAGUCAUUCAAGGGGAAGGGAUUUCACUCUACGGGAUAGACUUCUUCGUCUAACUCUAGCUGAGGCUUCUCGGGCGGGCUAAGAGGGAAUUCCGCUUCCUUUUCUUUCUUCUUCCCUUGCCGGUGCUUUCGGAAACUUAGAAUAAGCGAAUGAAAAAAGGUCGGCGACCACCCUACUAAUUCUGGUCUCGGCCUCGGGAUAGACUUCCAAAGAGAAAGAGAGAGGGAUGAAAGAGGUUAUGCACGGCGUCCAAUGGGAUAGUUUGACGGGAGAUCCUAUGAGACCCUUCCAGGUGGGGAUCCCUCUGCCUCUGAUGAAUCAGACUCCGCCUGCUCCGGUACCGCACCCCUCCUGCUCCGUGGGCAUUGACUCUUAGGCGAAGGACUGAUUUAUCAAGCUUAGUCUCCUUUCGUACUCUGACUCUUGGGAGAGCUUAUUUACGGGAGGAGAUCUGUAACUCCAACAAGUCAAUGAUUAGGGGAGCUUUCUCUUUCUUCUGAAACCCCUUGUUCAUUCAGGCUAGGCUUUCUCUUCAAAGUCAGAGCUAUCCAAAAUCUCAUAUUUCAUUGACCCGCAAAGAAUAUUGCGAGAAGAAGGCUGAAUUCCAUUUUCGAGUAGCCUUAGGCUCAAUGCAAUUUGAGUUGCGAAAGCUGCUCAAACUUGUGGUAAAGGGUAGAUUCUACGCAUAUUGAAUUGCGCCUCAUCUAGAGCUUUUUUUUGUUUUCGGAGCUUCUUUACCGAAGGCGUCACAGGUCCGAAGGACUAUCCAUAUUAACCUGCGACUGAGGACCUGUCUCGCAAUAUCCUUUGCUUUGCGCCUUAUCCAUAGAUCUUUGCGCCUCUCGCUUCGCGCCUAGAGAAAGAAACUGCCGAUUUCCUUCCGACCACGCGUCCUCCUUCUGACCGUCAAAGCUUAGUGAUUUACUUAGGCCUUUCCCGCUACGUGGGCCGAUGCGCUGGUGGGGACGGACGUCUAUGAUCAUCCUCUUCUUUAUUGCUUUCUGCCUCAGAAAGGUGCGGAUUCAGUCCCUUGACCCGAGUCCGAGUCGAGCAGCCGAUCCAUGGUUGGGGAGUUUGAAUGCUGGGGCACGUGCAAUCACUUUUCUUUCAACUUAAGGAAAUUGUCCUCUUCUCGAGCCUAACCUAGGAGUGGGGCCUAAUUAGUCGAUUUGACUCUUGGGAUGAUUCCACGUGAUCGGAUAGUCAAAUACCGGGUUUGAAUGUGAUUCGAAUGAAAGCAAGGGUCGAAGCGCGAACAAUGAUAGAUAGGAGGAUCGCUUCGGGUUAGGGGGCAGGGAGAGAGGGUAUUUGCCCGAUAUGAGCAAGACCUAUUAAGGAAUCCGCAUAUCUUAAGCAAAUGCUCACAUCGAUUUAUGCGAGGCGCGAAGCCUUCACCUUUUCCCAGCUUCGAUUCCUUACCUCGCCUAUUUUUUGGAAUCUUUGCUCCGAAGGCUCUCAGAAAUUGAGUUCUGUCCGUAGGCUGAUUAUUUCAGACUGAAGCUCUCAGAAAUUGAGUUGCCGUAGUAGGGUUGAAGACUCCGUCCUUUCUAUCUCCUUCUACUCAGUCGACUGAAUAUUCAUUGACCCUCUUAUCGACUACCUCUCUCCUCUCACAAGAUCCAGUCAAUUAAUUACAUACAAGAGACCGCGUAGUGGGCCAUAGAUCUUUGCACCGCUCCGUGGUCCUCCGGACUAUCCAUUAGAUGGAAGGUGGGCUUUCUUCUUCUUCCGAAAGAUUAUUUAAAAGGAUAUGAAGAGUCAGUGGGAGGGGGCUCUUUGCACUCCGAAAAAGUGCUCGUAAAAGAUAUUCAAUAUAAGUAGUAAUUCAAGCUCUUCUUCUUUAUUAAUUCAAGAUUCUUUCUCUGCUCAAGUAAGGAAAAGAUAUUGAUUACUAUCUCUCUAUCUCUCUUAUAAUAGAGACCGAAAGAAAGGGGAAAGAGAUGGUACCCGCCAUUUUCCCGUGGGUAUAUUGAAUGAAAGUGCCUCUCGUUAUAAAGCUAGAGGGUCGCGCGGUCCAUUCCCAUCAUGGGAGUCACGGCAGUCUUGGGUCACCUUUCGGCUGGGGGUCCAUUUGUGCCUAUCUGAGGCGGAAAAAUCCCUGUGGGGGAAAUUUGCACUCGGUGAAGGAAGGCCGGCUGCACUCGUGAAAAAAAGGAGUCUUUACAGGGCGGCCCCACAGCGGCCUACUUAUCAAAAGGCUCCGAGAGCACGAUGAGUGGCUCGAUGUCGGAUCCCAUGCUUCAAAGUGCAGUAGUGCUAAGGUAUCCUAGGAUGCGGCAAAUAUGGGAAGAUUCCCACUGCGAGAGAAAAGGCUUGGGGAGCGAAUCGCAGGCUAUCUUUGGUGGCCGGACCCCUAUAAAUGUUCGGAACUUGGGGAUAAGUAUUUCCUCCUCGAUUGGGUGGCCUUAGUCUGCCACAGGCCGGUCAAGACUAGGCAACUCUUGAUCCCAAGUACUCAAAAAACCCUCUUCCUUACUAGACUUUCAAGGGUACUACAAGUAUACAGGGGAAGGAGCAAUAUUCCGGAUGACUGAUAUGAUCUAUGGGCGAUAGAUGAAUUUAGAGAGUCAGACGGCGAAUGGGGUUCUCAGCCUGGAGGAUAUUUGGCCCAAAUGUCAAAUUUUCUCUUUUCUCAGAAAGGAAAUGUGCCUAUUAUCUUUUUUGGGAAUGAGCUCCCACGGAUCUUUAAGGAAAGGGGACCGUAGGCCGAAAGAAGAAUCCCCUUACAUUUUCUAUCGCAAUCUUCGAAGCUCGGCUGAUCUCGACGUUUUGGAAGUGUUUAGAAAUCCGGGCGGGCACCCAGGACCAGAUUGGCAACCCCCCCAUUUUAUACAUUACGCCUUCAUUCAUUCUUUAGAAAGAAAAAAAAGACAUAGUCAUAGAGCGGUAUAUCUCUGUCGGGCUUCUACAAAUAUUGGGGAAGGAAUACCUUCUUUUCUUCCAUUAGGAAAGAGAAGAAAGACAAGAAGACGGACAAACUUAUAUGGCACAUUAACCAGAAUAAGUUGGGAGAAGGCGGGAUGAACCUUCUCAACUUUGCCUUAGUCCCUAUCCCGGGUAAAGAAAGAGGUGGAAUAAUCUGAUUUCAAAAAAGAAGGUAAUCUUCAUAGACACUGGAACCCAGUGCAGCCUUGACUACAUACAAUGGCCAUAUUUCAAGGUACGGGCUUAGGGGCGAUUCCUGAAAUUUCAAUGUCAAAAUCCUAUAAAUGAGAUAUUUACGAUGAGGAGAACAGUCCCCGCCCUACCUACUAAAAGGGUUUAGAGAACCUUUCAUUUCAAGUCAGAAGAGCGAUCAGGGAGACCACGAUGAAGGAAGCCACAUACUUGUCGGGGGUCCAGCACUGGACUCAACUUUCUUUUCUUUUUGCUUCAGAGCAUUUGACGUCAGGUUGCUCGGCUCUCUACAAGAGAGCCUUUCCUCAGAUUCAAAGAUUUAGAAGAGAAAGAGCGGAUAAAAGGGGGUGGGGCUGAAGUUUCUUUAGUUGUGGAAGCCUAAGCCAGAAUGAAUUACAUAAGAAAGGAAGACAGCCUCAUCGGUCGUAUUCAUACCGAGUCAAUAAGCUUUACGCUCAAUGAGAUCUCUUCAUCUUCGGUUUGUUCCGGGAUCUCUAAAAAAGAGAGUAGGCUUCUGCCUCUGGGCGAAAUUUUGGAGUCUCGUCUUUGGUAAAAAGCUUAGUGAAACUUCCGACUCUCGAUCUCCCGUCCACGGAAAAUCUGUGACUGACUCAACUCUGAAUCACUAUCCUUCAUUCUUAGGAGUGCAAUGAACCCACUCCGCGGUUUCCCAGUGGGUCCUACUUCGGUGUCCUACUUCCGGAUGGUCCUACUUCGGUUAAUUACGGAUGGUCCUACUUCGGUUAAUUACGGAUGGUCCUACUUCCAUAUGGAUAGUCCUACUUCCUUCCAUAUGGAUGGUCCUACGGAUAAAUCCUCCGGACGUAGGAUAAAUCCUGCGGACUCCGGACCCUGGACCUUUCUUUCUUUAAUGGAUAGUCCUACGGAUAAAUCCUCCGGACUCCGGACGUAGGAUAAAUCCUGCGGACUGCGGACCUGUCCAAAACUUUCUUUCUUGACCUCGCAAUAUUCUUUGCACCUCCGGCUCAAUUUCAUCUCUAAGCUCCGUGGGAACUGAAAAAUGGAGUUGGCUUUUAUGUGAUCAUGCAUUUUCUGAAUGAAGGAUUGAUAGUUUUUUCUUGGUUUAGGUGACUCAAUUGAAUCUCGCCUUCUACGCCGGCUGGGUCGGAAUCUGAAUAUGUGGAUGAAAGACGGAGGAUCGGAAGACUCGCUGCCUUUCUGCCUUCUUGCCUCAUCCCGGGUAGGGCAUUUCUAGGGGGCAAGCUGAAAAUUGAGAUGUGGAUCCUUCAAAGUAGGCGUUAAAGAUGAACCGACGCAAUAUUCUUUGCGCCAUUAAUUCCAUUGAAUUUGAACUAAAUAAGAAGAACGAAUCUUGCAUUGAGCCUUUGUUUUUGCUGCAACAUCAACGGAUUCAGCCACUUUCAACCUCAAAAUAAUACUGAAAGAGCCAAGUCUGAAGUACGGAUUUACGAAGGAAGGGGAUUAGAUUGUUCUAACCGCCUGUCUGACGCUUGAAAUUUCUCUCUUUUUUUGGGGGUACCCGAAAGGCGUCCUCAGUCAGAUGCCACUUUUCUUGAAUAAAGCGAUAGCCGAGAGAGUCGACUUCCCUCGUUCUAAGAUUACUUAAGGCUUCCUUCAAUCCAUUCGAUAGCCUCUUGUCUUCUUACCGCUACGUGGGGAAAGCGAAAGACAUAGGCUUGAAAGAAAGAAAAGUUCAGACCUUUCCAUGGCAGUCUUAAAUAGAGCAGAGUCAGAGGCAAAAGGAUUUGACGCAAGUUGAAGCUAAGGAUCGACAGAAAGCUAGGUGUCCUUCUCCCUUCUUAUCCUAAGGAACUCGCAGAGUUAACGAGAUCUCGCAGAUAUAUAGCCAAGUGAUUCACCACGCCAAUAGGUGGGUUUUGAUAGUCAGUCAGAAAUUCAGAUAGAAGGCACCGCUGGAACUUGUGCAUGCUUAUACUAGGGAAAGAGCUCUUCAAUUCAUUCCCCGCUCUCCUGAGGUCGUGACAAGGUUCAAAGAAGAUUGAAGUAGUGGGCUGCGCUUUGGGGCUUUUGGCUAUGCGUAGAUAUUCUGGUAAGACCAAUAUAGUACGGAAGCAUCUCGGAUGAAGAAGAGGUGCAAAGAAUAUUGCGUUGAGGACUCGGAAUGAAUAAAAAGAAUGCCUGUUGAAUGAUCAGUUUCUCUUGAAUAAGCUAGAUCUCUUGUUCCAUUUCAUCAACAAUCGUAAGCGAAAAGAUUAUAUAGAUAGGAGUAGGAGCAAUCUGGGGAUUCAAAGAGGCAGGUCGCAGAAGAGAAGAAAGCCUAGGGCUCUCAAAUAGAGAAAAAAGGUAAAUAGAGGCCAAUAGGCUUACGACGACGCGACUUCUCUUUCUGAAACUUGAUGGAAGGACUGACGGCUUUCCUCUUACUAUUACGUCUUAGGCCCACGUAGCGGUAGGCUUUCGCAGCUGCCGAAACCUCUAAGUCUGAUCCUUACCCCUUUGACUUCUGAAUUACCGCGAGUACUCUUUAUGGAGUCUUUUCCCUUUUCUUGGUCGUAUGAGUCCUUCGUCUUGGAUCUGGCGGGAAAGCCUCAUUCAUUGAUCUAUUUCUUAGAAAGAAUAGCUUAUUCUUAAGAAAGCGGACGGACUCAGCCUUUUCUUCUCAUGCCCUUCUUUAUGCCUCUUCCUUCGAUCUCCGGCGUGCGGGUCGAGCGCGUCAAUAUUCUUUUCACCUCUUUUCCUUGCGAGUUUGUCCAGUUAGUUCGGGAACCUAGGCUUUCUUCUUCUUUCCCAUGAGAACUUCCUAGUGAAUCUCGUAUUAAUCAGCAUCAAAAUCUCAAUCGCAUAUUUCAUUCCGCCUCCAACACGCUCUUUGCUUUGAGCAAUAUGCGCCUCCGGCUUAAAUAAGCGAGUCAUGAUUCCGCUAAAGUUUCAGACCUUAGGCUCCAUAAGACAGGUCCGAAGGACUAUCCAUAUUAACCCAGAUUUCGAGACCGCUCCUCUUGAGUCUGAUUCCAAUAAUAUCCGUCAUGAUCCCUUAUAAAGCAGUUUCAGACCUUAGGAGCUAUUCCAAAAACGAGCUCUUAAAUCCCCACGGUGCGGUAGUUUAAUCUUUCAGCCUUGCACUCCUUUCUUCUUUUCCGAAAUAUUCUUUCGCCUGAAUCCAUAAAUAAAUAGAUAGAAGUCGGGGCUCCAAUCAAGGCGGUCGAUGAUUCGGCGUAAAAGUUGUUUUCAUCGCUUUAAGAACAAAAAAGACAGUCUUAGCCGCCAUUCGAAGGAUCGGAUAGAAGCUGCUCUCUUUCUUUAUUCCUUGUUCAUAUCCUCUUAUUAGUUACGGGUUACGAAGGAGAGGGGUUUUAGGGGUUUAUGGACUUGACACAGAGUCAUCCCUCUCUCUAAGUAUUAAUUAGUCUAAGUCGGUGCUAUCCCAUUCAGAUAGGGAUCCCUUUAUCCCCAGACAAAUCUGGCUCGGAACAGUAAUAAGUAUCAGUAGCCACAGAAAAGGGGGAAGACUUGGAACUUCAAGCAGAAUCCGGAAAAAUAAUGGAUUUCUAGUCCUUCGCCUAAUGAAUAUGGGGAUCUGGACGGCGGAGCAAAGAAUAUUGCCUUCCACUUUGAGAGGUUAUGCUAGAUUAUAUAUAUAGUAAAUAGGUGGUUAGAGAAUGAGUCAGACGAAGGAUCCACGUAGAAGCCGCUAUCCCGACGGUCUGUCUUGAUCAGGUGCGGAUGCUACGGAGCGGCCAAAGACUGGAAAGGAGAGGGGCGAAGCGAAUGGAAGAUCAAUCCUCGGUUCCUAGAAAAAGAAAGCGGAAAACGCAAGUCAAAUUCUCUAAUGGAUAGGCCUUCUCGCAAUAUUCUGCGCAUCUGCGUCCUUCUUUUUCGCAUAUUUCAUUGCGCUGUCAAAAUGAAAUUAAUGGAAUAACUUCGCCUAAACUUGAAAGAAAGGUCCAAAGCCCUUCGUUAAUUACGGAUAGUCCUACUUCCUUCCCUCCAUAUGGAUGGUCCUACUUCGGUUAAUUACGGAUGGUCCUACGGAUAAAUCCUCCGGACUACUUCCCUCCAUAUGGAUGGUCCUACGGAUAAAUCCUCCGGACUACGGAUAAAUCCUGCGGACGUAGGACUCCGGACUACUUCC